rnacentral:tRNA from 1 species
GCGAACGUGGCGGAAUUGGCAGACGCGCUAGAUUUAGGUUCUAGUGGGGCAACCCGUGGGAGUUCGAGUCUCCCCGUUCGCACCA